UUGCUGGUCUGGAGUGAGCCUCCCUUCAAGCUCCUUGUCGGCAGACAGCUCGGACUCCUCCUGUCCCAUAGGCUGGUCAGUCACUUCUGGACCUUGAACGGCUCUCCUGGAAUAUGAAGAAACUGACCUUGAAAGCUUCGUUUACCAGAUACGUAAAAGACAAUGGUGACACAACAAAUCUAUCAAACUACCUAUGGUGCCUUGGGAUUUCACACACGCCAACCACAACAGCAAAGGUAGCAGUUUGUGCAGUACUUUUCGACG